rnacentral:RNase_P_RNA from 1 species
CAGCUGGCUGAAUGAUCGCCCGGCACUAAAUUGAAUCACACAAGCAACAUUCAAUACUUUUGAUAUAUGAUUCAGUUUAGUGCCGGGAGGAAAGUCCGAGCUCCGCAGGGCAGGGUGCUGGGUAACACCCAGUGGAGGCGACUCCAAGGAAAGUGCAACAGAAAGAUACCGCCCGGCAUUAAACUUUAUUAACGGUUCGUUCUGCUUUAUGAAAGCCAUUGAUAAAGUUUAGUGCCGGGUAAGGGUGAAAAGGUGAGGCAAGAGCUCACCCGCCGCCUGGCGACAGAUCGGCGCUGUAAACCCCACCUGGUGCAAGAUUGAGGAGACAAACGUGGCGGCCCGUCACAUUCUCCGCUAAUCGCUUGAGCCGGUUGGCAACUACCGGCCUAGACAGAUGGUCAUUCGCGACAGAACUCGGCUUACAGGCCUGUCUGACGU